AUUGAACGCUGGCGGCAUGCCUUACACAUGCAAGUCGAACGGCAGCACGGGAGCAAUCCUGGUGGCGAGUGGCGAACGGGUGGGUAAAGUAUCGGAACGUGCCCAGUCGUGGGGGAUAACGUAGCGAAAGUUACGCUAAUACCGCAUACGAUCUAUGGAUGAAAGCGGGGGAUCGCAAGACCUCGCGCGAUUGGAGCGGCCGAUAUCAGAUUAGGUAGUUGGUGGGGUAAAGGCUCACCAAGCCGACGAUCCGUAGCUGGUCUGAGAGGACGACCAGCCACACUGGGACUGAGACACGGCCCAGACUCCUACGGGAGGCAGCAGUGGGGAAUUUUGGACAAUGGGCGAAAGCCUGAUCCAGCCAUGCCACGUGCAGGAUGAAGGCCUUCGGGUUGUAAACUGCUUUUGUACGGAACGAAAAGGUUUGGCCUAAUAAGCUGAGCUCAUGACGGUACCGUAAGAAUAAGCACCGGCUAACUACGUGCCAGCCGCCGCCGUAA
rnacentral:rRNA from 1 species